UACAGAGGAGCCAAGCGUUGUCCGGAUUGACUGGGCGUAAAGCGCACGCAGGCGGAUGCGCGCGUGGGGUGUGAAAUCUGGCCGCUUAACGGCCAGGCGCCAUCCCAUACGGCGCGUCUGGAGUGAUGCAGAGGUCGAUGGAAUUGCCGGUGUAGUGGUGAAAUGCGUAGAGAUCGGCAGGAACACCCAAGGGGAAGCCAGCUGGCUGGGCAUUUGCUGACGCUCAUGUGCGACAGCGUGGGGAGCGAACUGG
rnacentral:rRNA from 1 species